AUUAAAGCGAACUUUUUCUCUGAAGAUACCUACGACUUACAGAAAUAUGAUAAAGUACUCCUUUGUGAACAAAUUGAAACACUUAUCUUUUCUCCCUACCUGAACCUUCCAGAAUUCAGAAACUCUCAGGUUCCCAGCAACCUCACCAGAUGAGUAAAGAAUGUCACGUCCUGGCAGGUGAAGGAACCUCAGGAUAUUUUGGGGACCUCAAGAAGAAUUCACCCAAAUCCACAGGGGGCCACUUGAAGAUCAUGAGACGUCUGAGCCACAGACCAGGAUGAGAAGUAAUGACAUAAGGAUAGACUGCUUUUCCAAGAUUCGGGACCAGGCCUGUAUUUCUUCUCUUCUUUUAAAAUUGUAAUAUUAGGAAGAGAGUAAGCCUACUUAUUUGCUUUCACCUAUCCCUUUAUUACACUUUGAUAAAAUAUUAUGGUUACCCACUGAUUUAACUAAUAUAACUUCAGCACUCCCCUCGUGCUUUAUUAUGAUAACUUACGUAAAAUGUUUAUGACCUCUUGGACAUACUCUAAUGUUCCUUUAGCUUCUGAUGCUUAUAUGUUACAAAGGACCUCCAUUAGAAAGACCCUUCAAGGAGUACAACCCAACUCAUAUUUAACCUGUAUUAUAUAUCAACAGAUUGACCAUUGUGUCUCUAUAAACUUAGGUGAUAAUUUAUUAAGAAAGGUCUCCAGGUAAAACAAUGGGAGAAACUUAGCAGCAGCUUGUCCGACAUACCAAAUACCCAGUGUACACACAAACCAAGUUUUGUGGAUGGAGUGGCCUAAAACAAAGUAAGAAAAAACAAUGGCUAUCAAAGAUGCUACUUUAGGAAUGACUUAGUGGAUCCAGCCAUCUCCGAAAUCUAACUCUGCCAUAAAACCCAGAAGGUUCUGAGGUAACUAUGGGUCAAUGACCUUCUUCAUUAACUGCAGAAACC